rnacentral:rRNA from 1 species
UACAGAGGGGGCGAGCGUUGUUCGGAAUUACUGGGCGUAAAGGGCGCGUAGGCGGCCCUCUAAGUCGAACGUGAAAUCCCCGGGCUCAACCCGGGAACUGCGUCCGAUACUGGAGGGCUCGAAUCCGGGAGAGGGAUGUGGAAUUCCAGGUGUAGCGGUGAAAUGCGUAGAUAUCUGGAGGAACACCGGUGGCGAAGGCGGCAUCCUGGACCGGUAUUGACGCUGAGGCGCGAAAGCCAGGGGAGCAAACGGG